rfam:Streptomyces venezuelae ATCC 10712 complete genome
CGUGCGCACGCGCCGAAUCCUGAAAAGGAACCGGGGAACCACCACUUGGGGUGAAUCGGGCCCCUCGCACCCCGUGCGACGAGCCCGUAGGAGACCUUCCUGCUCCGAACCCGUCAGCUAACCCGGUAGGCGAGAAGGAAGGAAAGG